ACAAUACAAAGUAUUGCCUUCUUGGCUUCCCUGUUUGAGGAAAGUAUCUCUCCUCAUCUUGUAGUUGCUCCACUUUCAACUUUGAGGAACUGGGAACGUGAAUUUUCCAUUUGGGCUCCUCAAAUGAAUGUUGUGAUGUAUGUUGGCUCUACCCAAGCUCGUGGUGUGAUCAGGGAAUAUGAAUUCUACCAUCCUAAAAAUCAGAAAAAGAGUAAGAAGAAGAAAUCUAGUCAAGCUGUUAGCGAUAGCAAA